ensembl:snRNA U6 U6 spliceosomal RNA
GUGCUCGCUUUGGCAGCACAUAUACUAAAAUUGGAAUGAUACAGAGAAGAUUAGCAUGGCCCCUGCACAAGGAUGACACGCAAAUUCGUGAAGCAUUCCAUAUUUUU